GACGGAGGGUGCUAGCGUUGUUCGGAAUUACUGGGCGUAAAGGGCGCGUAGGCGGCUGCUCAAGUCGGGUGUGAAAGCCCGGGGCUCAACCCCGGAACGGCACCCGAGACUGGGCGGCUCGAGACCGGGAGAGGUGGGUGGAAUACCCAGUGUAGAGGUGAAAUUCGUAGAUAUUGGGUGGAACACCGGUGGCGAAAGCGGCUCACUGGACCACUUCUGACGCUGAGGCGCGAAAGGCUAGGGGAGCAAACAGGG
rnacentral:rRNA from 1 species